CUCCUGCCAGAUCCUCACUAGAUGCCUCUCCGAAAGGCAUCCACUAGAUGAUCUAUGACCUUCAUGGCUAGAUCUCAGCUAGAUCCGCAAGCUCUAGCCUCGUCUCCAAUUUUUCAGGCUCCUCCUCCUCCGGCAAUGGCAGUCGGCAUGGAGCAGUUUGACCUACUGAUUCAGCAGGUCAGGGGCCUCACCGAAGUAGUGCAGGCCAUGCAGCAGUAGCCGCAGGCUUCUUUGCAGCUGGAAAGAGCAUCACCGGAGUUCUAGAAUCCGAUGAUUGGGCGGGC
rnacentral:lncRNA from 1 species